GCUGGGUGUGCUGGCGUACACCUGUAAUCCCAGCAGCUCGGAAGGCUGAGGCAGGAGGAUUGCGAGUUCAAAGCCAGCCUCAGCAACAACAAGGCGCUAAGAAACUCAGUAAGACCCUGUCUAUA
rnacentral:sRNA from 1 species